rnacentral:rRNA from 1 species
GAUGAACGCUGGCGGCGUGCCUAAUACAUGCAAGUCGAGCGAACAGACGAGGAGCUUGCUCCUCUGACGUUAGCGGCGGACGGGUGAGUAACACGUGGAUAACCUACCUAUAAGACUGGGAUAACUUCGGGAAACCGGAGCUAAUACCGGAUAAUAUAUUGAACCGCAUGGUUCAAUAGUGAAAGACGGUUUUGCUGUCACUUAUAGAUGGAUCCGCGCCGCAUUAGCUAGUUGGUAAGGUAACGGCUUACCAAGGCAACGAUGCGUAGCCGACCUGAGAGAGUGAUCGGCCACCCGGGAACUGGGACACGGUCCAGACUCCUACGGGAGGCAGCAGUAGGGAAUCUUCCGCAAUGGGCGAAAGCUUGACGGAGCAACGCCGCGUGAGUGAUGAAGGUCUUCGGAUCGUAAAACUCUGUUAUUAGGGAAGAACAAAUGUGUAAGUAACUAUGCACGUCUUGACGGUACCUAAUCAGAAAGCCACGGCUAACUACGUG